rfam:Apaloderma vittatum contig8116, whole genome shotgun sequence.
GGCUGGUUAGCUCAGGCAGUUGAGCGUAGCGCUAACAACGCUGAGGUCAUGGGUUCGAUUCCCAUUCGGUCG